GCCUGGGUGGCGGAACUGGUAGACGCAAGGGACUUAAAAUCCCUCGGUCCUUGCGGCUGUGUGGGUUCAAUUCCCACCCCAGGUACCA
rnacentral:tRNA from 1 species